UGUGUCCACGUUCGGACACCACUUGCUGCUAUUGGCCAUAUCCGGACACUUCCGACGUCACGCGCUUUCCGGUCUUUUCGCGGUACUUUGAAUUUUCAAUCGCCCAAAAAUAUAAAGAAAGUGAGUCAGAAAAGAAUAAGGAAUAAGAGAGACAGAAGCAGAGAAGAUAAAAAAGAGGAACAGUAGAAAACAAGGUAGGCAGUGUGUAUGUGUGUGUGUGUGUCUCUCUCUCUGUGUGUGUGUGAGUGUGUGUGUGUGUGUGUGUGUGUGAGUGUGAGAGAAUUGUAUUUCCUUUACAGGAGCAUCAAGCCCAAAGAAAAAGUGGAUAUAGAAAUUGCCACUUUGGUUGAAGAUGCCCAACAUCAGGCAGAUGAGGAAGAGGGAGAGGAAGACCAAAAAAUGGACCCAAGAGGCAAUGGACCAGGCCAAGCAGGAGGUGGAAGCAGGCAGGCUCUCUCU